AAAAAAUAUGUAUGAAACACAAAAAUGGCAAAGAAGUAGAAGGAAAAUUAAACUAACACCGGCGGUUAAACUUUGCUCAA
rfam:Erinaceus europaeus unplaced genomic scaffold scaffold00268, whole genome shotgun sequence